rnacentral:rRNA from 1 species
GCACGAAAGUGCGAUGGGGCUAUCUCGAGUGCCGCCUGAAGAAGGCGGCUUUUCCACGGUGUAAUAAGCCGUGGGAAUAAGAGGGGGGCAAGACUGGUGUCAGCCGCCGCGGUAACACCAGCCCCUCGAGUGGUGGGGACGUUUAUUGGGCCUAAAGCGUCCGUAGCCGGCUUUGCAAGCCUCUCGUUAAAUCCAGCGUCCUAAGCGCUGGGCCGCGAGAGAGACUGCGAAGCUAGAGGGUGGGAGAGGUCAGCGGUAUUUCUGGGGUAGGGGCGAUAUCCUUUGAUCCCAGGAGGACCACCAGUGGCGAAGGCUGCUGACUAGAACACGCCUGACGGUCAGGGACGAAAGCUGGGGUAGCGAAUCGGAUUAGAUACCCGAGUAGUCCCAGCCGUAAACGAUGCAGGCUAGGUGUUGGGUCGGCCACGUGCCGCCUCAGUGCCACAGGGAAGCCGUUAAGCCUGCCGCCUGGGGAGUACGGCCGCAAGGCUGAAACUUAAAGGAAUUGGCGGGGGAGCACCACCAGGCGUGAAGCCUGCGGUUUAAUUGGAGUCAACGCCGGGAACCUUACCGGGAGCGACAGCAGAGUGAAGGCCAGGUUGAAGGUCUUGCCGGACGAGCUGAGAGGAGGUGCAUGGCCAA